AGUGAACGCUGGCGGCAUGCCUUACACAUGCAAGUCGGACGAGUGGCGAACGGGUGAGUAACGCAUGGGAACGUACCGAGUGAAGGGGGAUAACUGCUCGAAAGGACAGCUAAUAACGCAUACUAUUAGAUCGGCCGAUGUCGGAUUAGCUGGUUGGCGGGGUAACGGCCCCCAAAGGCGACGAUCAGUAGCGGGUCUGAGAGGAUGAUCCGCCACACUGGAACUGAGCACCGGCCCAGACUCCUACGGGAGGCAGCAGUGGGGAAUUUUGGCCAAUGGGCGCAAGCCUGAUCCAGCCAUGCCGCGUGUCUGAAGAAGGCCUUCGGGUUGUAAAGGACUUUUGGCAGGGAAGCGGUACCUGAAGAAUAAGCACCGGCUAACUACGUGCCAGCAGCCGCGGUAAUAC
rnacentral:rRNA from 1 species